rnacentral:rRNA from 1 species
UACGUAGGGGGCUAGCGUUGUCCGGAAUCAUUGGGCGUAAAGCGCGCGUAGGCGGCCCGGUAAGUCCGCUGUGAAAGUCAAAGGCUCAACCUUUGAAAGCCGGUGGAUACUGCCGGGCUAGAGUCCGGAAGAGGCGAGUGGAAUUCCUGGUGUAGCGGUGGAAUGCGCAGAUAUCAGGAGGAACACCGGUGGCGAAGGCGGGUCUCUGGGCCGAUACUGACGUGAGGAGCGAAAGCGUGGGGAGCAACAGGAAUUAGAACCGU